CGCAGCCGCGGUAAUUCCAGCUCCAAUAGCGUAUAUUAAAGUUGUUGCAGUUAAAAAGCUCGUAGUUGAAUUUCGGGGUUAGUAGGCUGGUCGUGCUUAUGGUAUGUACUGGCCUUACUGAUUCCUCCUUCUUGAAGAACUGUAAUGCCAUUAAUUUGGUGUUGUGGGGAAUCAGGACUGUUACUUUGAAAAAUUAGAGUGUUUAAAGCAGGCUAACGCUUGAAUACAUUAGCAUGGAAUAAUAGAAUAGGACGUUCGAUCCUAUUUUGUUGGUUUCUAGGAUUAACGUAAUGAUUAAUAGGGAUAGUUGGGGGCAUUAGUAUUCAAUUGUCAGAGGUGAAAUUCUUGGAUUUAUUGAAGACUAACUACUGCGAAAGCAUUUGCCAAGGAUGUUUUCAUUAAUC
rnacentral:rRNA from 1 species